AGGAACCCCCUCGGGACGCUGGGGGGCCCCGGCCGGCCCCUUUACUCCGGGUGGGAGCCGCUAGGAAGGGAUGAAAAGGCAGGUUCGGUUUGCACACAAACCAGCCGGCCAAGGGCUGGUGUGCGAAGCUGUCAGUUUCAGGGGGGGUGCUUUGCUUUGGCGCCAUUUUUACUGACCUUAAUUAGGCCAAUUACAUCAGCAAAGUAGACGAAGUUAAAGACUCCGGAACUAAUAAGCCUUGCAGCCUGUACAACUUCUAAGGCGUCCAGUUUGCACCGACAUUGCCCUAGGAACAGAUCCCAGCUUCUCCACCUCUGGCGAAAGAAAAAGCGCAAACAAUAUAUUUGCCACAUAAAACGUCCGCCAGAAGAACAGAAUAUGUCAUUUCACAGUCAUUAGAAUGCCUGGAGAAAAUAGGAUUAGGCCCAAAUAUGAGCAAGGUUCUCGGCUUCGGCAGACAGCGCAUGCCAUUGUCUUGAACAAAUCGUUUUCUGUAAGGGGAAUUUAAACGAUGAUUUAUAAUGAACAACAAAGAUUGAAAAAAGUUGAAGCCUUCGGUAGCAGAAGUAACUGGGCUUUAAAGUCAAGGUUUUCAAGAUCUAAGAGUAACUAGAAUGUGGCAUCGCAUGAAAUUUACACACUAAUAAAAUAGUGACGAGAAAAAAAAUCAGCCAUAAUAACUGACGCAGACAAACUACCCACUUCAAUAAGCCACGUUCCUUGAAUAGCAUUGAUAACCUUUUCUAAAACACUGUAUUUAGUAGUGGUCAGGGGAAGCUUGUUUUAGGUUGCAGGUAAAACCUGGUGUGCUUAUGUGAACCCUGCUGUAACCUCAAUGCUUUGUUGUGAUAUCAGCCCUGUUAACUUGAAAAUAUUUACAGGGUAGAUUGUCAAGUAGAAAAAAUGUGGCAGGGAAGAAGAUACAUUAACAACAAUGAAUUGUAUGUACACAGGGAGUGUAGAUGGCAUGAUUUAAAUGCAAACAAAAUGCUUCGAAGCUGAUCAAAGGAAUGUGCUGUGAGCUGCAGAUUGUUUUGUAUUUACUUUCUACCAUUUAAUUGUUGUCUAAAUGUGUCUGUUCAGUUUGUGCGGCUGUGCUUUGCCUGGUGUAUCUCGUGCACAGGCGUUGGUGGGCCCCUUUGUAAUUAGCUUAGUGGAAACUCAUCAGGGCCAUGGAAAGAAAAGUCUUUUCCAUUUUGAUGUUACCUGGCACGACCUAUAGAAGUCAAGCAAGGUGAUGCCUCUUUUUCUUUCCCCACCAACUCUUGCUGAUUUCAUUUUUAUAACGGACUUAGUUUGCAAACUCACGCUUGAUCGCGGCUUGUAAAAAUAAAUCAAUAACCACUUGGCACAAUGCUGGGGAUUUGUAUUAUUACACCUUCACCCAUCUCCCUGCUCUGCCUGGAUGUGAGCAAAUCUGGGGCGACUUUAGUCCAUUGACCUGCACUGCUUGCCUGGCAUUUUAAUUUUACAUCUCUGCAGGCAAGGUUUGGAGUAAGGGCUUGCAUCUCUCUGGUCCACUUUGCGGAGAUACCUGUAUCUUUAAGCCAGAAAAUCCUUGAGGAGCUUUAGCUUCAGUCACGUCUCUGCUAUCUGGCUCCAAGUUCAAUACUAUUUGUGACAUUUUAAUUUUCUCUGCUCUCAGCUUCUCUAUCCCUGGGAGUUUGCACACUGCAGGAGCUGGGGCGAGUGUCAGAGCUGGCUGUGGUCAAUCCGGCCUGGCCGGAUAUUUGUCUGUCAGGCCAUGCAGGGACCAGUGAUUGACGUGCCAGCUAACAGUCACAAUACCCUACCUGAGCCUGGUGUUACAUGUGCGAAUACCUGACAGGUCUCAGCUACUGGUGGAGAACUGAGAUGGCCUGGGUAGAGUUCUUAAAAACUGUGGGGUAAAGCAGAAAUCACGAAGAUUGAUCAUUUCGUUAUAUGCUGUGAUCCAGCCCGCCAGUGUCCUUGGCGGAGAGAAAAAUUAUCAGUGGGGAUCACGAUCAGCGCGUGUCUGUGUGAUAAGAACGAGUCCAUCUAGCAAUAGUCACAAUCAAGCAGCAGCGAGGGUGGAGAAUGUACAUUUCUCUGCCUAGCAAUGGUUUCAUUGCUCCCCCUUGCCUGGGCAUAACGCUUCCUUCGCGAACAAAACCUUCUUGCGCCUCGGCGACGCUCCGUCUUACGAUCCUUCCCUUCGUACCCUCGUGAAAAACCACUAAACGACGACGAAAUGCAACAUCCUCAAACCAAUUCAGUUGUUGUGUGUUUUCAACACGGUCGCUGAGAUGAUUAAAGAACAGGUCACCCCUUGAUAAAGUUACAUACAGAUCAGCUGUCGUCCUCUAUGGAUACCCUACGUGUUGUAGAAAGGAAUUGAUUCAAACUCUUAUUUUUUUUAAUUGCAUUCAAACCAUUUCCCUGGGCUAGUAUAUAGAUUGGGUUUAAUUCAUUGAAUAUGCAUUGUAA